AGAGCGAACGCUGGCGGCAGGCCUAACACAUGCAAGUCGAGCGCCCGUAGCAAUACGGGGGCGGCAGACGGGAUAGUAACACGUGGGAACGCGCCCUUCGGUUCGGAAUAACUCAGGGAAACUUGAGCUAAAUACCGGAUACGCCCUUACGGGGAAAGAUUUAUUGCCGAAGGAACGGCCCGCGUCCGAUUAGCUAGUUGGUGAGGUAAUGGCUCACCAAGGCGACGAUCGGUAGCUGGUCUGAGAGGAUGACCAGCAUCACUGGGACUGAGACACGGCCCAGACUCCUACGGGAGGCAGCAGUGGGGAAUAUUGGACAAUGGGCGCAAGCCUGAUCCAGCCAUGCCGCGUGGAUGAUGAAGGCCUUAGGGUUGUAAAGUCCUUUUAACGGGGAAGAUAAUGACGGUACCGUAGAAUAAGCCCCGGCUAACUUCGCGCCAGCAGCCGC
rnacentral:rRNA from 1 species